rnacentral:rRNA from 1 species
CUGGCUCUGUCAGGGUCCGAGUUGUAAUUUGUAGAAGAUGCUUCGGGUGAGGCUCUGGUCUAAGUUCCUUGGAACAGGACGUCAUAGAGGGUGAGAAUCCCGUAUGUGACUGGCCGCCUUCGCCUAUGUGAAGCUCUUUCGACGAGUCGAGUUGUUUGGG